rnacentral:rRNA from 1 species
CCCCACUCCUUCCCAUCCCGAACAGGACAGUGAAACCACUUCGCGCCGAUGAUAGUGCGGAUUACCCGUGUGAAAGUAGGUCAACGCCAGGC